UUAAUAAAAUUAUUAAUUUAAAUUUUAUAAAGUAUUAUUUAUUUUAUUAUUGAUAUAGAACAAAUUAAAUUAAUUAUAAUUUAUUAGUAAAGUUAUUGAAUUUUUAAAAUAUGAAAAUUUAAAUGUUUAGAAGAAGAAUAAAUUUUGUACCUUGUGUAUCAGGGUUUAUUAAAUAAAAAUUAAUUAGUUAAUUUUCUCGAUCUUGGAAGAGCUAAAAGAUUAAUAAUUUUAUUGUUGAAUAAAUAUUUAAAAUAAUUUUUUAGAAAUGAAACGUUAUUCGUUUCCAUUGAUAUCUAGUUUUUGAAGAAAAAAAUUUAAUUUUUAUUAUAUUAAUUAAAUUUCUUAAUGUUAAGUAAUUUAUAUUAUAUAAUAAAUUUUUUAAGGGAUAAGCUUUAAAAAAUAAUAUUAAAAUUUAUUUUUAAUAGGAGAAUUGUAGGAUUAGAAAUUUCCAUCACUUAAUUUGUUAUAAUUAAUUUAUCUAAAAAUUUAAUUUAUUUAGGUUUAAUUGUUUUAUUCAAAUAAUUUAAUUAAUCAAUGAUUUUUUGUAAUAAUGAUAAAAUUAGUAUAUUUAUAUUUACGAAUAAUUUUUUAUUUAAGGUUGAAUAAAGGAAUUCGGCAAAUUAUUUCUCGCCUGUUUAUUAAAAACAUGGCUUUUUGGUUAUAAUUUAAAGUCUAACCUGCCCAUUGAGUAUUUAAAAGGCCGCAGUAUCUUGACUGUGCGAAGGUAGCAUAAUAAUUAGUUUUUUAAUUGAAAGCUGGAAUGAAUGGUUGAACGAGGAAAUAACUGUCUCUGUUUAAAGUUUAGAAUUUUAUUUUUAAGUUAAAAAGCUUAAAUAUUUUUAAAAGACGAGAAGACCCUAUAGAGUUUUAUAAAUUUAAUUGUUUUAUUUAAAUAGAAUUUUAUAUUUAAGAUUAUUGUAUUUAUUUUGUUGGGGUGAUAAGGAAAUUUAAGAAACUUUUUUUUAUUGUUAACAUUGAUUUAUGAUUCGUUGAUCCAUUAUUUAUGAUUAAAAGAUUAAAUUACCUUAGGGAUAACAGCGUAAUUUCUUUAAAGAGUUCUAAUCGAAAAAGAAGUUUGCGACCUCGAUGUUGGAUUAAAAUUAAUUUUUGGUGUAGAAGCUAAGAAGGCGGGUCUGUUCGACCCUUAAUAUUUUACAUGAUCUGAGUUUAAACCGGUGUGAGCCAGGUUGGUUUCUAUCUUUAAAAUUUUAGUAUAUUUUAGUACGAAAGGACCAAGUAUA
rnacentral:rRNA from 1 species